UCAGAAUGCAGAGAUUUGCAUUCUGUUUUUAUACAGCAUCUGAAGUUAGUAAGUUAGUAAUUUGGUACUUAGUCAACAUUUACCAUGACAACAGGUAAGAUAAAAAUCAUCUAAAUAUCAGCCCAGAUCAUCAUCACAUGACUUCUUUAAAAUAUCUUGCACAUUUUUGUGAGUUGAUGCAACAGAGUCGAGCCUCAGCCAUCCCAGUACUUCCACUGUUUCCACGUCUGUGAACUCACCUUCAGGUAACAGCACAGACAAGUCACACAAGACUAAUCCUACAGUGACAUUUACUACAGUCAAAAGUUUGACGCAUGCUUCCACCCACACCACUGCUCUACAUACAUCAGAAGGUCAGACACUUCAACAACCUGGCAAUAAAGCAAACCCUGUAUCAAGUAAGC